rnacentral:ncRNA from 1 species
AAGGUUGCCUAUGCUACAGCGAUGGAUUGGUUUAUGGCAGUGUGCUAUACAUUC